CAGACGUUCAACCAACUGAGCCCCCCAGUCUUUCUGAAAUUGGAAUAUCAAGCAUUCGGUGUGCAUACUUAAUAUGAUACGUUUAAAUUCUUGCAGUAACAGGGGUGCCUGAGUGGCUCAGUCGGGCCUCUUCCUAAACCCAAGAUUGAUGGUAACCUCCUUCUGACAAACUCCUUAAAGAGUGUAAGUUGCAAUUCUGUUUAUGGAUAGACCUGAAUAAUCUCCAGUCACGAGGAUCUUCUACUUUAUAAAAACUCACUUUCCAAAGGUCAGAAGAUGAGACAAGUUUGGUUGUCCAUUUCUCAUAAAAAGAAAAAAUGGUCUAAUAUAUGGAUCUGCAUGGACUCUUGGACAGUGGCUAACAGGAAAUUGAGAACACUCUAUAACAAGGCACCUUCCUUCAUGCCAGAGUCUAACAGAUACACAAUGUGCCCCAGUUGUUGAUACAUACUAAGUGGAUAUUUAAGAAGGUGACUAUGUUGUGACUUCCUGUUUCAGCCUGGAAUUGGACAAAAAUAGCCUAGGAACAAGAUAUUUCAGCCCAAACUGGCAUUUUAAAGAAGUCUUUGCUCUGUUCAAAUCUCGGUUCUUCCACCCAAGCACCGCGUCUCCUACGUAUGGACAAGUUGAGGGCAUCCCUGAGUUCCUGACUCAUUUAGAAGAUAAGUGGCGAUGCAGAAGGCCUGCACCGUCAGGAUCCGCAUUAUUACCGAUUGCCAUAAUAGUGAUUCUGUUCUGCAGUCAGGCAAAUAUUUAGUUUACAUUAUAGUGAAUACAUUGUGGAAACUACUCUGUCUUCUUAAAGAAGCGACAGCAGGAUGUGUUAUUGGUAUUUGCAGUAAUCUAAUUAGUGAAUUUACAUACUGACUACCUCUCCAACAACUUCCUCCUGAAAAGGUUUUCUGCAUACAAAGUGGCUAUACAUCUUGAAGAUGGAACAUAACAGAAUAAAACAACCGGGUACCUUUUCCUUUUGUGAUUUUGAAAAAUCUAAAGACCGUUUCAGGGGGUUCUAAGAAUUUUACUCCCAAUGUCUACGUGCAUCUGAAGCGUAUUAUUUCCGUGAAUGAACUAGAGUAGGUUAUAUGUAAUUAUUAAAGGUCACUCACCUCUCACUGUCAUUUAAAUUGUAAGUAUUACAUUGACACCUUGAGUUCUUUCUUCAGACGUUAAUAUAGCUGGACAAACUCAGUUUUAAACUAUAGAGUGUUAAAUUUUCUUUUCUAGUGACAACCGUCCUUUGGUACAAACUCGAAUUACCUGAAAUUUGGAGCACUCUUAACUUUCAAUU